rnacentral:rRNA from 1 species
UAUAGGCGGAGCUGCACUUGGUAGGGGAGGCCACAGGGGGGAAUAUUGGUCAAUCAAGGAAACUCGAGUGAAGAAGCCCUUCGGGAGGGAAAAAUCUUUUGUCAGGGAAGACCCAUCUCAUCAGGGACUAUGUGAAAAUGAAGGUACCUGCAGAAGAAGCACCGGCUAACUAUGUGCCAGCAGCCGCGGUAAU